GGACGAGUUUAACAUAUAGUAUUAGGACGACUCUAAAUGAAUUAUUAUAACAAAAAAAUCACUGUGGACGGCAGACGAAGCAUACACAAAGAAAUGAAAAUUUACAGUAAUCGAUCUAUUGUUUCGAGUAAUACAUCAAUCGAAAGUCUUCCCCAGGGCAGAGUACCCCUAAUUCCGCAGCUCGCGACAUAAAAUAUCAUAGCUCCGCUGUCUCACAUCACUGAAACUAUCGGACAUCGUUAAGAACAAAACGAAAACAAAGCCAAGGGCUCCCUCCCAACCAUGGGUACCCUUUUGAGGCUGCUGGGCACCACCCAAAUUCGGCCGGACGGCGACCCUCCUCGCGUCUACGGCGGUUCCAUCCCCCCCACUGGCACAAUUUACUCACACAUUGUGUGUUUUGCAAACAUUUAAUGAAUAUUCCUUCGAGACCAAGACUUGGCAACCGUCUAAUCCUGAGGAGCUCCCGGUGAAAAGGGACAGGCCAAAAAGCAAACGACGAGGAAAAAUACGGCUCUCGGGUCUAAACUAACAACUAUUGCCCUAUCGACCCAACCUAUCGAUACAGUCACUCCUAUCAUCGACUCCAAUUGCAACGAAUCCUGAGAUUUGCUUAAUUUUGCCCUCCAAACGAAACAAACAAGCCAUAUUUUAAUAAAAACACGAUGAAACAAAUUUCAUGUUAUUUAUAGCAUACUUAUAAAAAGAAAAUAAGUUUUGCGAUCUUGGAGUCCAACUCUACCAGGGGGGCAUCUUCAAAAUAUUAUUUCUUAAGCUGUUAUAAUUUAUGUUAUUGGAUAUUUACUAGUAGUAAAUAGGGGUUAACCUACCAAAAUGUU